GGGGGGGCAUGGAGGAAGAAAGCUGUAAGACAGACUAUUUGCUUAAAACAGAAGGGGGAAAGGAACAAAGCUGCGUGGAUAUAUAAUAAGCUGGAGUUUUCUCUAGAAAAAUGUCAUUCAUCCCAGGAAAGAUAAAAGAGGUGAGCCUGGGGCCUGAAAGAGCAUGGAGUUUUUCUUUCUGAAGGCCAAGACUUUGAGGUUGGUGAGGACAGCUGAUUAGAGGCACUGUGUGUGGCUGUGUUUGGAAAUUCCCAGCUGUCUUGAAAAUGUGGUUCACCUUGGAAGAUGACUGAAAGAAAGAGAAGUAGUGAGAGAGAAUAGUGAGUGUGUGUGUGUGUGUGUGUGUGUGUGUGUGUACAUGUAUGUUUGAUCUGUGCAUUAUAGAGCUUUGGGAGCCUAGGAACAUGUUGGCAUAAGAAUGGCCAUAACAGAAUAUGUCACUGAAAAGAUAUAAUUCCUCUUCAUCACCUGCACUCAGAGAGGUCCAAUAAGUGACCCAAGCGACUUUAUCCAGUGGGAAGAUAAACUGAAUCACUGAGUUUAGGCAGCGGUGUAAUCCCAGGUCCUGAGUUUAAGGAUUACACCAGCAUAGCCAGAAAAGCAAGUGUUUCAAGGGUGACCAUGUGAAAACAACGACUACCAAAGCCAAAAACAACAUGAUUCCUCAGCCAAGUGAGGAGGGUUUUUGUUUUUCCUUUUCUAUUCACAAUACAGGUUAAGCAAAUCUGUCUCCUUGAAUAAGCAUUAGCAUCCCUGCAGUGUUAGAAUUACCUUAGGACAAAGAACCCAGGUAAGGGAGAAAGAUAUUCUCACAAUAUGUGGUUUCAGAGACUUGUAAAAGAAAUGUGAGCCAGCUUUUACUUUUUUCUGUGACAGUGGCUCACUUCGCACUAAAUCUUCUGCCAAUAAUAACUACAAAAUUGGUUAAAAAAAUUUUUAAAAAAGGUGUGUUGAACCACAAGGUCUUACUAUAUAGUACAGGGCACUAUAUUCAAUAUCCAGCAAACUUCAAUCCUUCCUGUUGCCACAGGUUCUCUAGUAUCAUUUUUUCUCCCUGAACAAUUCCCUUUAGUACUUCCUCUAGUACUAUUCUGCCAUAAUUUAAUCUCUUCGUUUUUAGUUGUCUGAAAAUAUAUUCAUUCUCUGUUCACUUUAGACCAUUCUUCUUGCCAUCCCUUAAUUCCCGGACCUGUGAUUCCUAGUUAUGGGGAAAGAGUACCAUAUAUUGGAUACUGAUUCAGAGCAUACACAGCUUUCCGGGAAACCCUACCCCAACCCUGCUAGGUACUGCCACCUAGCUGGCACUCUGAGUCUUCAAAAAGCCAUUCCACUGUUCUAUCAAGCCAUCUGCUUCAAGAUGGUAGGAAACAUGGUAAGACCAGUGAGUUCCAUGAGCAUGGGCCCACUGUUGCACUUCCUUUACUAUGAAAUAAGUUUCUUGAUCAGAACAACGCUGUGUGUGGCACCACCAUGAAUAAGAUAUUCUGUAAAUUAUGGGUGAAAGUUUUGGCAGAAGCACUGUGUUCAGGUAAGGCAAGCCCAUACCCAGAGUAAAUGUCUAUUCCAAUAGGAACAAAAUGCUCUCCCUUCUAGACAGAAGGAGUCCAUGUUGCUGAGUUCAUACCUAACCUCUAUCCCUGCCAUUAAGUUCUUGAGCCCACUGGGUGAUGAUGGGAAAAUAAGUUAAUUGGUACCUGAAGAACAGGUCAUCCCAUCCACUUGAUAAUUAAAACACCACUUCUGCUGAAGUAACCCUCUGGUUAGCAUGCACAUAGGACACAAGUAUCUUCAUGUUUUUUAGCCAUUAGGAAAGGUCUAUCCACAUAGACCAAAAUUCCUUGUCACCAAAUUUCCAAUCAUGAUCCUUCCAAGUCCCUGGCCAUGCAGCCAAACCAUCAGCCAUAUCCCAGGAAUUGGUAAAUAAUCACGUCCGGUUGCUUCUCCUUCCAAGCAAAAUGAACAAUCAGGUUCCCUGCUCUGAGGACUUCUCAUUACUAAUGACUUCAGGGAUGUCUCAGAAAGGGACAUGACAGACCUAGAGCACGACUUGCAGUGACAUUCAUAGCUUUAAGUACAUAUGCUCAAAAGAAGAAAGGGUAAAUACAGUUGCCUAACCCUCCAUCUUAAAGGUGCAGCCCCAACAAUUUGUGGGGCAGGGGAGAGGUGUGGCAUGCAUCAGGGUUCCCUUGCUACCUCAAUCACCUAUUCCAAGAAAUAAAUGCCCGGGGUGGGGCUAAAGGAAUAAGACAUAUUUUUCCCCAGGGCUCCUGCUCUAAUCUGACAUCCAUCCUGACAGACCUUUAGAACCAGGUUCUUCAACAACUAAACCUCUUUAAAAGCUGCCUGAAGUUGGCUUACCUUUCACCAUCUCCCUCCAGAGCGACUGAGUAACUAGAACUACACUGAUGCUUCAAUUAUGUGCAUUAUGAGAAAUUUGGGUGAUACUCAAUGGGCAAGGGAAAUUUUUCUAACCAUAAAAAUAUUAAAAUCAUGCGAUGUUGCUAAAAACAUUCUAAAAAAUAAUUCUUUGGAAAUCCCUACUAUUCAGAUCUUAGCAUGAGAAAGAAAAUAGAGAACAAUAAUAAAAAGAGAGAUAAAAGAGAACAGUGUUUGCACAGACUUUAUUAACUAAGAGUGAUAAACUAAGAAUUUAUCAUUAUCUCUAACCAGAGAAGAAACAAAUAUAUGUGUUUUUUUAACAUGCACUUAAAGCUACAAAACAGACCUUGUGUAUUAAUUAAAGGAGAAAGAAAACCCAGCAGGGUGUCUCCUUAUGCCUUAUCCAGUUAUAUUAAUAAGAAAGGGGGUGAAGGUAAAAAGUCCCUUUGGAGAAGUCUUCUCAGGAAGAUUUGCUUAUUCCUAGCAAACUUGGCAAUGCCCAAAUGCCCAUCAACUUGGUAGUCUCCUAAAGGGGCUGUUUUCUUAAUAUCUAAAAUGAUAUCCACACCGUCCUUUUCUCAGCUUUCCCAAGUCACCCAUUCCUAUGAAGUCAGCUCAAGCCACAUGCCACAUGCCAUGGAAAAGUUCAGUGUUAAUGCCCACCUCUGUAGAGAUUCUUGAGCUGUCUAGAUAGGGACACAAUUGCUAAUCAUUUAGAACUCAGAGUCCCGCAAUUCAGGUGAAACCAUUUAAAUUAUGGAUAAACACACUGUCUGCCCAUUUCUGCACUGUUAUCAGACAGGGCUCUCUAUCCCUUAACCCCAGGCUUUAAGUGUGGCAGACUUUUACUGAAAGUUUAGGACAAUAAAGAAAAUUUUAUACCACAGCCAAAACCAUAGCAAUAAAUAACUUCACUGUGUUAAAAUUCCUUCAGUCUCUCUGCCUGUCGACAGGAUUUACAUGGACCACCCAGGUCAGUCCCAUUUUCUUGCUCCUUCCUCCUUCUAGCCUUUUCUUUGUUCCAUGCAAGCCAUAACUUCCAAGUUCCUGUUAAUCUCUUAUGCAAGCCAGUUUUCACAGUCUCUUUAUUUCAUUGUCUCUUUCCUAACUAUACCUUACCGCCUUCUAAAUCCAAGUGAUCUAUUUUCCUAAAUAGCAGUAGGUCUCAGCUUAGAAGAAACUCAGAUGCCAGACUUUAAAUUAUUAAUUUUACCCUGUUUCAAUCAAAUGACACAAGUUCCCGUCUACUUAUAAAUUCAACCAGUAGAUGUUAUCCAAUCUGUGCCAAGCACUAAUGUACUUGGGAUAGUGUGUGAAUGUAACAAUUUCCUAAUUUUAUCAAGCUCCCAAGAAGAGGCUUAAGUCCUUAUUUGUUUGGAAAAAUACAGCAAAGUCUUCUGCAUCAACAAAUGAAUGAGGAGCAUCAUUUCCACAUCUGUGAUUAGGAACUCAGACGUUUAUACAUAAUAAUGAUUCUCUUCUCAGGAUAACUAUCUAGGUGCUCUCUUUCCAUGAAGAGGGGAGUCGUAAACUACAGAAAACAAUGGUCCUAACCAACUUCUACUAAAUUCACUUUAUCAAAAUAAACAACACUCUCCAUUUCCUCUGCAAAACAUACUGACUGCUCCCCACAGAAAGCUGAAAGCUCAUGGCUAAUGGGCAACUCUAAUUCUUCUGCUAGAUUAACCAGCCAACUACCAGUUCUAAUUAUAUCAGAUAAGAAGGCUUCUACUGUAUUUUUCUAAAUAAACAGUUUUUCCCCAAGUGGAACUCUCAUGCAGGCUGUUGAAAACAGUAAUUGUUUUCUUCCUAUCCCAUGCAGCUGAAGAGAUGCUUUAGCAAGACUAUCAGGACUACAUGAAAUUCACCCCCCUCCUUAUUACAGAGUAUAAUUCCAUCUUCAUUUGCAGGAAGGAAUUUUUUUUUCUUUUUUUAGGGCUGCACCUAUGGCAUAUGGAAGUUCCCAGGUUAAGGGUCGAAUCAGAGCUGCAGCUGCAAGCCUACACCACAGCCAUAGCAACACAGGAUCCAAGCCAUAUCUGUGACCUAUACCACAGCUCUUGGCAAUGCCAGAUCCUUAACCCACUGAGCGGGGUCAGGGAUUGAAGCCGUGUCCUCAUGGGUACUAGCUGGGUUCAUUACUGCCGAGCCACAAUGGGAACUCCCAGGAAGGAAAUUUAAGUGUUUGUAUCAUUUGCACUAGUCAUCCAUUCCUGAUUUACAAAAUGUACUAGUACUCUAUAGUUUAAAGCAGUAAGCCUUUAUUAUUGCUGAGGGGUCUGUUGGUAAGCAGGGAAGUUCUAUUGAUCUGAGCAAUGCUUAGGUGAUCUGACCUCGUGUUUGGAGUCAGCUGACAAACUCAUCAGGAAUUACUUGAUGAAGCGUAGCAUUUUAUGGCUUAUGGUUGAUUGGUCGUCACAGGAGGAGAGGGAGUGACUGAGUCCUGUGAAUCUCUACAUCCAUCAGGCUAGCUCAUGGCAGCCAGAGCUAGAUUUCCAAGGGAAAAAGCAGAAGGUACAAAUUCUAGUGUCAGUACUGACACACUGUCACUUCCACUACAUUCUGUUAGUCAAAGUAAUUUACAAGGUGAGAACAGAUUUAAGGGGAAAGGAAACAAGUUCUACCUAUUUCUGAAAGGAGUUACAACAUCAUAUUGCAAAGGUUGUGGAUAUAGAGAAAGAUGGAGAAUCAAAGCCAUUAUUGUAACCAAUGCACCACAAUGGUUGAGGCAGCAUUAUCAACCUUUUUUGUAUUGUAUCUCAAAUCUAUCUGGAAAUUUUAGUAGUCAGAAGAAAAUCAGGGGGUUCUUUCCAUUUUAGACAUAGAAAGUCAUGAAAGGCAGCUGUUAUCACCCCAAAGGAUCAAAACAACUCACUCAAGUUAUGCCAAAGAGCUGAACACCCCCCCCCCGCAACACACACACUCACACAUACCCAAAAGAAAUAACCUCCAGGAAGCGAGAGGUCCUCUAUGCAAACAAGAGACUCACCACUGCCCUAAUCUCUGGAGACAUUGUAGAAAAGGCAGGAAGGAAAAAAAAAAAUCAAAUUUCUAAAAAUCUUUAAAUGGCCACAUGAAAGCUAGCAUGAGAAAUUAGAAUUGCUAAGAGCCUCAGACACAAAGUGAGUUUCUACCCAUCCACUGAUAGUCUCUCUCACAGAGAGUCUACCUGGUGGGAGUUGUGCACCAACAGCAGGAACAGGGAAAGAGGUGAGAAAGACUCCCCUGAAAUGCAUCAUCCCUCCUCACAUGCAAUAAUAUUCAUAUUAAAGAAUGAAGGGGCAGCGUGAGAGAGAGGAGCAUGACCUCUCCUCAUGGACUCUGAAUUUUCACCCAAGAAAGACCAAGGAAGGGAAGUAGAACUGAGAGAAAUCACAAGACAUUUUGGGCUUUCAAUCAUUAAAAAGUGGGGGAAGGAGAACAGAUGUGACAAAAUCUCCCUUGAAGGUAUUCUAGUUCUUUAUACAGCGAAUAUAGCCACAAUUCUCAGGAAAAAGACAAGAAAGCAGGGCUGAAAAAUCUCCCAAGGCCAAAAGCAGGGAGCAGGCCUGGAGAGAAGAAAUGCCUCCGAAGCCUGAUAAGCAGGCAGGGUGGUGGUAGAUCAAGGGAAGAUGUACAGUUCUGAAAGCUGGCAAAUUCUUUGUGCACCAUAGACAGAUUGCCAUAAUCUCACUAGCACUCAGCUCUCAAGUCCUGCUGAGGGGAGAGUCCUGAUCCUACACUCAAACCAUUUGAAGUGAGGAGUAAAUUGAAUUAAACGAAAGCUACAGCUCAGACUGAAUCAGCACCUACCUUGUUAGUCUAACACAGGAGAAGGCAUAUCCUUUUCUGGAAGUAAAUAUUAUUCAGUUCAGUCUUUACUAUUCCUUUAUGUCCAGCAUACAGUCAAAAAACUACAAAACAAUCAAGCAACAAGGAAACAUAAUCAUGAUGAGGAAAUAAAACAGAAAAUUGAAGCAGACCAAGAGAUGACCCAGAAGCUGGAAUUACCAAACAGGGACUACAAAACAACUAUUAUAAAAAUGUUAAAUGAGGAGUUCCCAUUGUAGCUCAGCAGGUUACAAACCUGACUAGUAUCCAUGAGGGUGCAGGUUCAAUCCCUGGCCUUGCUUAGUGGGCUAAGGAUCUGGCAUUGCCGUGAGCUGUGGUUUAGGUGUAGAAGUGGCUUGGAUUCCUCAUUGCUGUACAGCUCUGAUUUAACCCUAGCCUGGGAACUUCCA
rnacentral:lncRNA from 1 species